UACGGAGGAUGCGAGCGUUAUCCGGAUUUAUUGGGUUUAAAGGGUGCGUAGGCGGAGUGCCAAGUCAGCGGUAAAAAUUCGGGGCUCAACCCCGUCGUGCCGUUGAAACUGGCGCCCUUGAGUGGGCGAGAAGUAUGCGGAAUGCGUGGUGUAGCGGUGAAAUGCAUAGAUAUCACGCAGAACCCCGAUUGCGAAGGCAGCAUACCGGCGCCCGACUGACGCUGAAGUACGAAAGCGUGGGUAUCGAACAGG
rnacentral:rRNA from 1 species